rnacentral:lncRNA from 1 species
CAAGAGAUGGACUCCCUACUGUUGAUUUAAACGAUAAUAGGGGUGUAUUCUUCAUCCAAUUCGGGCAGCACUUGGGUAACAAGGUCAGCAUGAGGAAUGCUAUUUCAAGGUUGUCUGCUAGCUGCUUAAUUGUGUUGAGCUAUUUAUCAAUACUCAUUGAACCUUUCCUUGUCCUUUUAAGUUCACUGAUAAGGAAGAUUAUCCUUGAUUUAUUCAUAACUCCAAAACUUUCUUGGACUGCAUUCCAAAGAUUGCAGGAGCUUGAAGAUCCCAUCACUCUCAUUGCUAUAUCAGGUGUCAUAGAUGAAUACAGCCAACCCAUCAGUAGUUGAUCAGUAGACAUCCAUUUUAUAUAUUCAGAAUUUGGAGUCAUCUCCACGGUGACACCGGCAACACCAGUGGUUUGAGUUGCCAAAACCUCUACUGGACAAGCUUUUGUCCCUGUAAUGAAACCUUCAAGAUUGUGACCUCUAAUGAUUGGCAUGACCAUGUUCUUCCAAAGUAAAAAGUUGUUCCUAUCAAGUUUAACUGGUGGAACUUGGGUGAGGCUUAUCCCAAGUGAUGGCAGCUGAUUUCCUCCCAGUACUGAAGACACCAGUGUGGUUGAAGUUGGCUGAGCCGAUUGAGCAUUGUCAUUGGAUCUGGUGUUAGCCAUUAAUGGCUUUGAUACCAAGAUAAAAUUAAUAAGAAAACUGAAGAUGCAGUAAUUGAAAUGAAAAUCAGAGAA